rnacentral:lncRNA from 1 species
AAAUAAGGACUAGUUGUUGAAUUAUUUUUGAAAACUCGAUCCAUUGCCUCAAAAGGAAAAGUGGAGACUUUUGAACUUUUGAAAAUCGAGUUUAUUAAAGUCCGUAAAGGUGAAUUCAUUGUUUCAAACGUCUAUCUUUCAAAUUUUGGCGUAAUCACCUAAAUUCAAGAAGAAUAGCCACACAUACCCAUAUUUCCUACCUCGAACCAAAGAGCCUAACAAUUGAAAGCCACAAAGCCCCAAUGAUCCCAAUAGCUUAAU